rnacentral:lncRNA from 1 species
AUCUCAAAAAGAUCCUCUCUUCCAUCUGGCACCUCACUCUCACGCCACUCCACCCUCAUUUUACUACCUCCCACUCUCAUCAUUCAUUCACAAAGACCUCUCUCACUCUGACACGUUUAACAGAAUACUCAUCUCUCUCACACUCCACAAUUCCCUCAUUCACUAUUCUCACUCACGAACCUCUCUCUUUUCUCUUGGCCACAAAUUCACUCUGUUACCUCCUCGUCCUCACAAAUCACCUUCACUAUUCAUCAUCUUCUCUCUCUCACUCUCAUCAUCACACAUCUCUCACACUCCCAAAACCCUCACCGUGCGCCGCCACCACCUUCAACAUCACCCUAACCUAAAUCGCUCAAUCCGUCUUCAUCGCCCUCCACCUCCGCGUAAACCAACGCCACCAUUACCACCAAAGCUCCACCUUCCUUAACCAACACCACCAUCUAAAACCUAACGUUCUUCCUCCUUCACCACCGCCAACAACUCCAACGUCCUCCGAUUUUGCCCAGUUCAUCUUUGAUGGCUAAAGUUC